UACGUAGGGUGCGAACGUUGUUCGGAAUCACUGGGCGUAAAGCGCACGUAGGCGGAUCGUUAAGUCGGGGGUGAAAUCCUGGAGCUCAACUCCAGAACUGCCUUCGAUACUGGCGAUCUCGAGUCCGGAAGAGGUGAGUGGAACUCCUAGUGUAGAGGUGGAAUUCGUAGAUAUUAGGAAGAACACCAGUGGCGAAGGCGACUCACUGGUCCGGUACUGACGCUGAGGUGCGAAAGCGUGGGGAGCAAACAGG
rnacentral:rRNA from 1 species